AUUGAACGCUGGCGGCAGGCCUAACACAUGCAAGUCGAGCGGCAGCGGAAAGUAGCUUGCUACUUUGCCGGCGAGCGGCGGACGGGUGAGUAAUGUCCGGGAAACUGCCUGAUGGAGGGGGAUAACUACUGGAAACGGUAGCUAAUACCGCAUAACGUCGCAAGACCAAAGAGGGGGACCUUCGGGCCUCUUGCCAUCAGAUGUGCCCAGAUGGGAUUAGCUAGUAGGUGGGGUAACGGCUCACCUAGGCGACGAUCCCUAGCUGGUCUGAGAGGAUGACCAGCCACACUGGAACUGAGACACGGUCCAGACUCCUACGGGAGGCAGCAGUGGGGAAUAUUGCACAAUGGGCGCAAGCCUGAUGCAGCCAUGCCGCGUGUAUGAAGAAGGCCUUCGGGUUGUAAAGUACUUUCAGCGGGGAGGAAGGCGUUGAGGUUAAUAACCUCAGCGAUUGACGUUACUCGCAGAAGAAGCACCGGCUAACUCCGUGCCAGCAGCCGCGGUAA
rnacentral:rRNA from 1 species